UUUAUAGAAUAUUUUUAUAUAAAUUUUAAUUUAUUUGUCAUUAAUUGAAUUAUCAUUGUUUUUAGUAUCUUAUAGAACUAAUUUUUAUUAUUAUAGUUAAUUGAACCGUAGGGGCAUAAUGUUUUUAUAGUAGAAGUAGAUUUAUCUCUUACCUUUUGCAUCAGGGUUUAUUAAAUUUUUCUUAUUUAUAAUAAGUAUCCCGAAAUUAAGUGAGAUAGACAAUUGUGUAAUUUUAUGUGAUAAAAUGAUUAAUAACAAUUGUUUAGUGGUGAUAUGCUAUUCAACCUUAAUAUAUCUGGUUCUCUUAGAUAUGUAUUUAAUACAGGAUUAUGAAAUUAAUAAAUUAAUUUUAUUUAUGAUAAUCUUAGUUUGCCGGGGAUUAGCUCGGUAAAUUUUAUAUAAUAAUUAUUUAUUUUAGACUAAGUAGGCUUAGAAAUUGCCAUUUAAUUUGUUAUAAUUAUUUCUAUUUUUUGUUUUAUUUUGAUUUAUUUAUAUUUUUAUAGGGGUAAUUUUUUUAAUACGUUAUUACUUGUAAUUAUGAUAAAAUUAGUAGUUUUGAUAGUUAAUUUAUAGGAACUCGGCAAAUAUAAAUCCCGCCUGUUUAACAAAAACAUGGUCUGUAGUGUAUUUAUUUCAGAUCUGACCUGCCCAAUGAUUAUAUAUUAAAUGGCCGCAGUAUAUUGACUGUGCAAAGGUAGCAUAAUAAUUUGUCUUUUAAUUGAAGGCUUGUAUGAAUGGUUGGACGAGGUUUUAUCUUUCUUUAAAUUAGUAUGAUAAAUUUAACUUCUGAUUUAAAAGGAUCAGAUUUACUUGAUGGACGAGAAGACCCUAUAGAAUUUUAUAUUAAAAUUAUAAUUAUAAUUAUUUUUUUUAAUAUUUAUUUAUUUUAAUAUUAUGCUGGGGUGGCAUGGUAAUAUUAAUAACUUACUUUUACUUUAUUUCAUUAAUUUAUGUAUAAUUGAUCCUAUAUUAUGGAUUAUAAGAUCAAAUUACCUUAGGGAUAACAGCGUAAUUCCUUUGGAGAGUUCAUAUCGAUGAAGGAGAUUGCGACCUCGAUGUUGGAUUAAAGUUAGUGUUUGGUGUAGAAGCUAAAUAACUUGGUCUGUUCGACCAUUGAAUCUUUACAUGAUCUGAGUUCAGACCGGCGUGAGCCAGGUUGGUUUCUAUCCUCAAUUAUAUACUUUACUUUAGUACGAAAGGACCAAGUAAUGGGAAUAGUUCUUAUAUUUAAGUGAAUAUCAUUAA
rnacentral:rRNA from 1 species